GUCAAUUUACAAAAAAAAAAAAAACAACCAAAAUUUAUCUUCUAAUGCGACUAAGAUUGAAUUGGAGCAUCAGCACCAUGAUUUAUGAAUUAUUAAUCUUGGAAAGAUCUGCACGGUUAUUCCAUCAUUAAAUAUAGUAAAAAGUUAUUGAAAAUCAGCUCAGGUCCUCAAUUAAAAGGAAAAGAAUGGAAGAGUUACGCAUGGAAUUGCGUUCCCUCUUGCUGAGUUCUAAACAUGGCAUACCGACCCAUGAAAUA
rnacentral:sRNA from 1 species